rnacentral:rRNA from 1 species
AGAGUUUGAUCCUGGCUCAGAUUGAACGCUGGCGGUAUGCCUUACACAUGCAAGUCGAACGGUAGAGGAGCAAUCCUCGAGAGUGGCGAACGGGUGAGUAAUACAUCGGAACGUGCCCAGUCGUGGGGGAUAACGUAGCGAAAGCUACGCUAAUACCGCAUACGACCCGAGGGUGAAAGCGGGGGACUCGCAAGAGCCUCGCGCGAUUGGAGCGGCCGAUGGCAGAUUAGGUAGUUGGUGGGGUAAAGGCCCACCAAGCCUGCGAUCUGUAGCUGGUCUGAGAGGACGACCAGCCACACUGGGACUGAGACACGGCCCAGACUCCUACGGGAGGCAGCAGUGGGGAAUUUUGGACAAUGGGCGAAAGCCUGAUCCAGCCAUACCGCGUGCGGGAAGAAGGCCUUCGGGUUGUAAACCGCUUUUGUCAGGGAAGAAAUACUUCGGGCUAAUACCCUGGGGUGAUGACGGUACCUGAAGAAUAAGCACCGGCUAACUACGUGCCAGCAGCCGCGGUAAUACGUAGGGUGCAAGCGUUAAUCGGAAUUACUGGGCGUAAAGCGUGCGCAGGCGGUUCUAUAAGACAGAUGUGAAAUCCCCGGGCUCNACCUGGGAACUGCAUUUGUGACUGUAGAGCUAGAGUACGGUAGA